rnacentral:rRNA from 1 species
UACGGGGGGGGCAAGCGUUGUUCGGAAUUACUGGGCGUAAAGGGCUCGUAGGCGGCCAACUAAGUCGGAUGUGAAAUCCCCAGGCUCAACCUGGGAACUGCAUCCGAUACUGGAUGGCUUGAAUUCGGGAGAGGGAUGCAGAAUUCCAGGUGUAGCGGUGAAAUGCGUAGAUAUCUGGAGGAAUACCGGUGGCGAAGGCGGCAUCCUGGACCGACAUUGACGCUGAGGAGCGAAGGUCAGGGGAGCAAACGGG